rnacentral:rRNA from 1 species
AGAGUUUGAUCAUGGCUCAGAUUGAACGCUGGCGGAAUGCUUUACACAUGCAAGUCGAGCGGCAGCGCGGGGGCAACCCUGGCGGCGAGCGGCGAACGGGUGAGUAAUACAUCGGAACAUGUCCAGUUGUGGGGGAUAGCCCGGCGAAAGCCGGAUUAAUACCGCAUACGCCCGAGAGGGGAAAGUGGGGGACCGCAAGGCCUCACGCGAUUGGAUCGGCCGAUGUCCGAUUAGCUAGUUGGCGGGGUAAAGGCCCACCAAGGCGAUGAUCGGUAGCUGGUCUGAGAGGAUGAUCAGCCACACUGGGACUGAGACACGGCCCAGACUCCUACGGGAGGCAGCAGUGGGGAAUUUUGGACAAUGGGGGCAACCCUGAUCCAGCCAUUCCGCGUGAGUGAAGAAGGCCUUCGGGUUGUAAAGCUCUUUUGUCCGGAACGAAACGGGCGACGUGAAUAUCGUCGUCUACUGACGGUACCGGAAGAAUAAGCACCGGCUAACUACGUGCCAGCAGCCGCGGUAAUACGUAGGGUGCGAGCGUUAAUCGGAAUUACUGGGCGUAAAGCGUGCGCAGGCGGUUUUGUAAGCCGGAUGUGAAAUCCCCGGGCUUAACCUGGGAAUGGCAUUCGGGACUGCAAGGCUGGAGUGCGGCAGAGGAGACUGGAAUUCCUGGUAGCAGUGAAAUGCGUAGAUAUCAGGAGGAACACCGAUGGCGAAGGCAGGUCUCUGGGCUGACACUGACGCUCAUGCACGAAAGCGUGGGGAGCAAACAGGAUUAGAUACCCUAGUAGUCC